UGAUGCUUGAGAGAUGAAUUUUGACCAGAAUGUGAGAGCUGUGGGCAAGGUCAUUAACUUACUCUUAAACUCCCUCCCUUGAAUCACAAUUUGAUACAAUUGGCUUACUUGGCCACUUCAGUGGCCAGGCCUAGAGUUUCUGAAUGUCAGCUACUAUCUGCUCAACCACCCUCACAGCUUCGACAGCGGAUAGAGUUCAGGAUGCUUCAGGCCUGUAAGAUGUGCUCCCCGUAUCCCGACAGCGUCAUGGAGAAUAUAUGAGCAGCAACUCCAGGUGGAGGGACCAGACAGAUGACCCUUGCAAACACGAGGAAAUCUGCAGAUGCUGGAAAUUAAAGCAACACACCCUGAAACAAGAAGUAAAGUCCUGCCGAAGGGCCUCUGCCCGAAAUGUCGACUGUACUUCUUCCUAUAGAUGCUGCCUGGCCUGUUGCGUUCCACCAGCAUUUUGUGAGAUGACCACUUGAUUAGGUACAUUUGAACAUCUGUUUGUUAAUGUAAGUAUUAAUCAGCCAAUCAUGUGGCAGCAACCCAAUACACAAAAGCAUGCAGACAUGGUCAAGAGGUUCAUUUGUUUGGACCAAACAUCAGAAUGGGGAAGAAAUGUGAUUAAAAGUGACUUUGACUGUGGAAUGAUUAAUGAUGCCAGAUGAGGUGAUCUGAGUAUCUCAGAAACUACUAAUGUCCUGGGAUUUUCACCCACAAUGUUCUCUAGAGUUUAGAGAAUGGUAAAAAAAGCAAUAAAACAUCAAAUUGCAGUAAAAAUGCCUUGUUAAUGAGAGGAGUAAUUGCAGAAUAGCCAGACUGGAUCAAACUGACAGGAAGGUGACACUAACUCAAAUAAUCACACAUUACAACAGUGGUGUGCAGAAGAACAUCUCUGAAUGCACCACAUGUCAAAUCUUGAAGCAGAUGGGCUACAGCAGCAGCAGAUCAUGAACAUACAUUCAGUAGUCACCUUAUUUAGGUACAGGAGGUACCUAAUAAAGUGGCCACUAUGUGUAUAAUGCUUUUGGUGGAUGUUCAUUGAAAUUUGUCCGCCCUUCACUAGCCUCUUGAUGGAUGGAGAGCUUAAAAUCUUUCUAACAUGUGUAGCUCAGUUCCAAAACAUGUGAUUCCUUAUCUAACUGCUCUGAGAGAGCUGCAAUGUUAGACCUUCACCGAUCUUUAUAUCAGACACCUCUUGCUGCUGAAAAUCAUCAGACUUAGAAUCAUGUGCUGUUUCUUAUUACCUCAAUGAACUUUCUAAAUGUCAUCAGAUUUAAAUAAGCCUUUAAGUGAUACUUGGCUACAUUUAAACACUUGAAUUAAUUUUUAAUAGUAAUUGAGAUCUGAAGGUUGACAAAUAUUUGAUGUAGGUAAGACAAUUUAAUGAAGCUAUUGAAAAGGAAGUACACAGCACUCUGAAUUCGGUAAAAUAUUUGUAAGCAGAACAAAUUGGAAGUCUAUGGUGAAUGUAAGGCUAAUUGGAUGACACAAGUAUGAUGGGUCCGAUUUCCUUCUUCUCUGCUUCAUGAUUCCAAUCAAUAUUUCCUUUGUUUGAAGGUAUCAGUCCUCAAUGAGAAUAGGCCAUGCUAAAUGGUACAAAAACUAACAGUGAGAGGAGUUCAGCAAGUUGAACAGCACAUACAGGGCGAGAGGAAUUGCUGAUGUUUCAGGUUGAGCCACUGCAGUGGAACUGAGGGAAGAUAGCCGGUCUAAAGGGGAGAAGGGGGGAGGUAAGGCAGGGUCUAGUAGAUGAUAGGUAGCCCAAGGACAAGAAAGAGCCAGGAGGGGUAGAGUUGGAAGACACAGCGGCGGGGGGGGGGGGGGGGUGGUAGUGAUAGGCGGAAGCAGACUGGGAAAAAGGAGAGGCAGAUGGAACCCAGUAGGAGAGGGGAGAAUGAAGAUAGAGAACAGUGAUAAGCUGUUCAAUCUACUGAAUUCAUCCAGCGGUUUGUUUUCUGCUCUUAAUUCCAGCAGAUGCAGUCUUCUGUGUCUCAAUCAUUAUUAAAUGGUAUUUUAUUACAUUUACAGUAUAGAGUCCUGUAACAAUCAACAUUCUUUAUGAUCCAUGCCAGACCAGUUUGGUCUUCAUUUUUUUGGUUCUGCUCUCCUAUAUUUAACAAUACAGCUCUCUCCACUAUGAAAAACUACUUCAUAAGUAUUUAAGUCAUUUCUGCCUUCUCAUUUCUAAGAAAGUACCCAAUUAAGAACCUGUAGUGAUAAUGUAAUUCUGCAGUCUUGUCACCUAACAGCUGAACUCCCAGCCAGUACACUGCAGUUGCCUGACUGUACUUUCGACACAGAAAAUUGCUAGAUUGAUACCUGUAAGUGCCAAGUUGUUUGAUGAGGAAAUGGUGGGCAGGCUAGACUUGAAUCUGUUGGAGACAUAAGAGGAAUUGCAAAUGCUGGAGUCUAGAGCAAUGGACAAACUGCCGAAGGAACUCAGGUCAGUCAGCAUCGGUGGAGUCAAUAUUUGAGGUUGGGUCCUUCAUCUGAAUUCCAUCAUGCUGACCUUCUAGUGAUGCUGCCUGACCCCCAGAGUUCCUCCAGCAACUUGAUGUUUCAGCGGACCGGUCCUGGGCCCAGCACAGAAAUGCAAUUGCGAAGAAAGCACAGCAAUACCUCUACUUCCAUGGGAUUCUGCAUAGAUUCGGCAUGACAUCAAAAACUUUGACGAAGCUCCUUAGGUGUGUAGUGGAGAGUGUAUUGACUGGUUGUAUCAUGGCCUGAUAUGGAAACACCAAUGCCUUUGAAUGGAAAAUCCUACAAAAGGUAGUGGAUUUGGCCCAGUAUAUCACAGCUAAAACCCUCUCACCCAUUGCGCACAUCUACAUGAAAAGUUGUCAUGGGAAAGCAGAAUCCAUUAUCAGAGAUCCUCACCACACAGGCCAGGCUCUUUUCUUGCUGCUGCCAUCAGGUAGAAGGUACAAGUGCCUCAGGACUUUGACCACCAGGUUCAGGAACAGUUACUACUCCUCAACCAUCAGGCUGUUGAACAAAAGGGGUUAACUACACUCACUAGCCCAUCCAUUGAGAUGUUCCCACAACCAAUAAUCUCACUUUAAGGAUUCUUUAUCUUGUUAUUUCAUGUUCUUGUAAUCUAUUGAUAUUUAUUUAUAUUUGUAUUUGCACAAUUUAUUGUAUUCUGCAUCUGGUUGAUCUUUCAUUAAUAUUGUUAUAGUUACUAUUCUAUAGAUUUGCUGAAUAUACCUGCAGGAAAAAGAAUCUCAUGGUUGUAUGUGAUAACAUAUACAGUAUAUACUCUGAUAAUAAAAUAUACUUUGAACUUUGAACUUUAACUGGUUGCAUCUCUCCCUGGUCUGGAGGAGCCACUGUACAGGAUCGGAAAAAGCUGCAUAAAGUUGUAAACUCUACCAUCUUCUUCACAAACACUAACCUCCCCACUACCUAGGGCAUCUCCAAAAGGUGAUUCUUCAAAAAGGAAACGUCGAUCAUGAAGGACUCCCAUCACCCAGGACCUGACAUCAAAGAGGAGGUAUGGGAGCCUGAAGCCACAUACUCAACACUUCAGGAACAGCUUCUUCUCCUCCACCAUCAGAUUUCUGAACGGACAACAAACCAAUGAACACAGUAUUUCUCCCUCUCUUUUUGUACUACUUAUUUAAUUUAAUUUUCUUUUUUUAUAUACUUUCUAUCAUAAUUUGUAGUAUUUAUUAUAAUGUAUUACAAUAUACUGCUGCCACAUAACAAUAAAUUUCAUGACAUAUGCCAGUGAUAUUAAACCUGAUUCUGAUUCUGUGCUCUACACUUUCAUGGGCAGCAUGCAACAUAUCUAACUGGUUGAUAGAAUUUUAAGAACAGUAGUAUAUCUCUGUCUGUUUACCUACUGUACACAAGAAUGAUAUUCCUCACAAUAAGCUUUGCCAGCUUCUUCCCAGAAUACAGAACAUAGAACAUUACAGCACAUUACAGGCUCUUCAGCCCCCAAUGUUGUGCCAACUUAUAACCUACUCUAAUAUUAAUCUAACCUUUUCCUCCUACAUAGCCCUCCAUUUUUCUAUCAUCCAUGUCCCUAUCUAAGAGUUUUUUAAAUGUCCCUAAUGUAUCUGCCUCUACCGUCAACCCUGGCAGGGCAAUCCGCACACACACACACCACUCUCUGUGUUAAAAAAACCCCUCUGAUAAACCUCUAUACACUCCUCCAGUCACCUUAAACUCAUGCCCCUCAUAUUAGCAAUUUUUGCCCUGGGAAAAAGCCUCUUGCCAGCCACUCAUCAAUACUUCUUAUCAUCUUGUACACCUCUACAAAUUGCCUCUCAUCCUCUUUCGCUCUGAAGAGAAAAGCCCUGGCUCGCUCUACCCUUCCUCUCUAAUCCAGGCAGCUUUCUGGCAAGUCUGAUCUGCACCCUCCGUAAAACUCCCACGUCCUCCCUACAAUGAGGUGACCAGAAUUAAGCACAAUAUUCCAAGUGUGGUCAGAGAAGUGCUUCACAGAGCUGCAAAAUUACCUCACGGCUCUUGAACUCAGCCCACCAAAUCAUGAAGGCCAACACGCCAUAUGCUUUUUUAACAACCCUAUCAUCUUGCAUGGUAAC